rnacentral:rRNA from 3 species
AAUCCAUAGGUUAAUGAGGCGAACCGGGGGAACUGAAACAUCUAAGUACCCCGAGGAAAAGAAAUCAACCGAGAUUCCCCCAGUAGCGGCGAGCGAACGGGGAGGAGCCCAGAGCCUGAAUCAGCAUGUGUGUUAGUGGAAGCGUCUGGAAAGGCGCGCGAUACAGGGUGACAGCCCCGUACACAAAAGCGCAUGUGCUGUGAGCUCGAUGAGUAGGGCGGGACACGUGGUAUCCUGUCUGAAUAUGGGGGGACCAUCCUCCAAGGCUAAAUACUCCUGACUGACCGAUAGUGAACCAGUACCGUGAGGGAAAGGCGAAAAGAACCCCGGCGAGGGGAGUGAAAAAGAACCUGAAACCGUGUACGUACAAGCAGUGGGAGCACCCUUUGGGUGUGACUGCGUACCUU